rnacentral:lncRNA from 1 species
UGGCGGAUCGAUGAUUAUGAAUCAUUGAAAGAUAUAAUCGUCAAUAUGAUUGAUGAUUAACCUUAUGUAAAGCUUGAAAUUAAUAAUUUGCUAAGGAUUAGUAAAUUAUAAGAAGAUUAAUUAGUAAUUAGAUUAUUAAUUAGUUUAAUUUGAUUGAAUAAUGAGGAUUAGAUCAAGUCUAACUAAAUUGGAUUCAAUUAGAUUUGAUCUGAU